ACAGAUGCGAUGAUAGGGACAGUACAUUUUUCAAUUCUUUUUAAGCGAGCCAGGGAAUGGUGCGAGCCUGGUAAAACUGGAAAAUGGAACAUCACCCUGGAGCGCUCUUUUUGAACGGAAUAUUCAAGUAGAGAAGAGCGGGUCAUUCACGAUACGAAUGCUUGAGUGAACACAUUUUUUGUGUUAAACAGGGUGGCACCGCGGGAAACCUUCUCGUCCCUUUU
rnacentral:ncRNA from 1 species